rnacentral:rRNA from 1 species
UACGUAGGGUGCGAGCGUUGUCCGGAAUUAUUGGGCGUAAAGGGCUCGUAGGCGGUUUGUCGCGUCGGGAGUGAAAUCCACUGGCUUAACUGGUGGCUUGCUUUCGAUACGGGCAGACUGGAGGUAUGCAGGGGAGAACGGAAUUCCUGGUGUAGCGGUGAGAUGCGCAGAUAUCAGGAGGAACACCGGUGGCGAAGGCGGUUCUCUGGGACGGUACUGACGCUGAGACGCGAAAGCGUGGGGAGCGAACAGG